GACGAACCGUGCGAACGUUGUUCGGAUUCACUGGGCUUAAAGGGCGCGUAGGCGGGCCGCCAAGUCUGUGGUGAAAUCCCCCGGCUCAACCGGGGAAGUGCCGCGGAUACUGGCGAUCUCGAGGGGUGCAGGGGCAUGUGGAACUUCCGGUGGAGCGGUGAAAUGCGUAGAUAUCGGAAGGAACGCCGGUGGCGAAAGCGACGUGCUGGACACCUACUGACGCUGAGGCGCGAAAGCCAGGGGAGCGAACGGG
rnacentral:rRNA from 1 species